AGGUCGGUGAUUGAUAAGCUUAGUCUGGGUCAGAAUGACAAAGGUUAGCGAGACAAGUUUCAUAUUGCCUAGUGAUCUUGGGCUGUGUGUGUUUAGGGCUGACGAAGACGUCAGGGUCUAAACGAGAGGAGUCUGGACACCCCAAUAGUCCUAUACUGGAUGGGAAUAGAAUUGUCAUUGGGUAUAUAAGAGGACUCCACCCUAAUAAUAAUAAUUGGGCUCGUGGUUUGUGCCCAACGAGUUAUUAUUGCUAGCGAGUCGGGUCGUUACAGAUUGUUAAUAUCUUGUACAUGGUGAUUGGUUAUAUAGAUCUGAUAUAUCUG
rnacentral:lncRNA from 1 species